AUACGUAGGGUGCAAGCGUUAAUCGGAAUUACUGGGCGUAAAGCGUGCGCAGGCGGUUUUGUAAGACAGUGGUGAAAUCCCCGGGCUCAACCUGGGAACUGCCAUUGUGACUGCAAGGCUGGAGUGCGGCCGAGGGGGAUGGAAUUCCGCGUGUAGCAGUGAAAGGCGUAGAUAUGCGGAGGAACACCGAUGGCGAAGGCAAUCCCCUGGGCCUGCACUGACGCUCAUGCACGAAAGCGUGGGGAGCAAACAGGAUUAGAUACCCUGGUAGUCCACGCCCUAAACGAUGUCAACUGGUUGUUGGGGAUUUAUUUUCUCAGUAACGAAGCUAACGCGUGAAGUUGACCGCCUGGGGAGUACGGCCGCAAGGUUAAAACUCAAAUGAAUUGACGGGG
rnacentral:rRNA from 1 species